rnacentral:lncRNA from 1 species
AUGGAUUGUUUUUGUCAUCUCAAUAACAGCAGCACAAGGGGAAAGAGAUGGAAGAUAGAAGGCGAGGAAUAUUGCUUCAUACCUUACCUGGAAUGCUAUCAUUAAGAAAGCCUUUACUCCAGCCAGCCAUCACCCUCCCCACACUCCUUCAAAAUGCAAUUUCCAUCUCGCCCAAUCCAGAGCCCAUCAGCAGAGGACUGGUUAAAUAAGCAAUGCGCGGUGCAUAGCUCAGGACAUCAGUGGCCAUUAAAACGAAUGCGGGAUAGAUUUUUAAAAAAAUAACAAUGUCCAUGAUAUGUUGCUAGGUGAUAUAAGAAAAUUACUGAGCUGUGCUUCUGGAAAACGAAUAAAUAAAUAAAGUAAAUAAGUUGGUGCAUGCAUCCAGAAAAUAUCUGUAAAGGCAUACACUGAAAGUGGCUACCUCAUCUGGCAUAUAGAUGGAUGGAUGGAUGGAUGGAUGGAUGGAUGGAUCUGGGUGAAUAGGAAGAGACCACUCACAUUCCAUGUGAAACAUUUCCUUUUUUGUUUGUUUUACAGUAAUUGAUGUUAUAAUCAGGAAAAGCAUUACAGGGAGGGGACAGCAAAUUUCCCGUGAAAAGGAGAUGGCUGGGUUGCUGACACAGGCUACAUCAUUGCAGAACCCUGAGAGCAGGGAAGAUGCAGACAGUGG